rnacentral:rRNA from 1 species
GAUGAACGCUAGCGGCAGGCUUAACACAUGCAAGUCGAGGGGUAUCACGCUUUCGGGCGUGAGAGACCGGCGCACGGGUGCGUAACGCGUAUGCAAUCUACCUUUUGCAGAGGGAUAGCCCAGAGAAAUUUGGAUUAAUACCUCAUAGUAUAGAACAAUCGCAUGAUUGAACUAUUAAAGUCACAACGGCAAAAGAUGAGCAUGCGUCCCAUUAGUUAGUUGGUAAGGUAACGGCUUACCAAGACUACGAUGGGUAGGGGUCCUGAGAGGGAGGUCCCCCACACUGGUACUGAGACACGGACCAGACUCCUACGGGAGGCAGCAGUAGGGAAUAUUGGUCAAAUGGACGCAAGUCUGAACCAGCCAUGCCGCGUGAAGGAUGAAGGCCCUCUGGGUCGUAAACUUCUUUUAUAGGGAAGAAACAUGGGAUGCGUCCCAAACUGACGGUACUUAAUGAAUAAGGAUCGGCUAACUUCGUG